UGGGUUAGUCCGCACGAGCGCAACCUCAUUUUUAGUUGCCAUCAGGUUAUGCUGGGCACUCUAAAGAAACUGCCGGUGAUAAGCUGGAGGAAGGUGGGGAUGACGUCAAGUCCUCAUGGCCCUUACGGGCUGGGCUACACACGUGCUACAAUGGUGGUGACAGUGGGAAGCAAUUUCGUAAGAAUAUGCAAAUCUCCAAAAACCAUCUCAGUUCGGAUUGGACUCUGCAACUCGAGUCCAUGAAGUUGGAAUCGCUAGUAAUCGUAGAUCAGCGUGCUACGGUGAAUACGUUCUCGGGCCUUGUACACACCGCCCGUCACGCCAUGGAAGUUGGUUUUACCUUAAACCGGUGCGCUAACCGCAAGGAUGCAGCCGUCCACGGUAGGGUUAACAACUGGGGCGAAGUCGUAACAAGGUAGCCGUAGGGGAACCUGCGGCUGGAUCACCUCCUUUCU
rnacentral:rRNA from 1 species